CUGGCAGCGCGGGAGCAAUCCUGGCGGNGAGUGGCGAACGGGUGAGUAAUACAUCGUAACGUGCCCAAUCGUGGGGGAUAACGCAGCGAAAGCUGUGCUAAUACCGCAUACGAUCUACGGAUGAAAGCAGGGGAUCGCAAGACCUUGCGCGAAUGGAGCGGCCGAUGGCAGAUUAGGUAGUUGGUGAGGUAAAGGCUCACCAAGCCUUCGAUCUGUAGCUGGUCUGAGAGGACGACCAGCCACACUGGGACUGAGACACGGCCCAGACUCCUACGGGAGGCAGCAGUGGGGAAUUUUGGACAAUGGGCGAAAGCCUGAUCCAGCCAUGCCGCGUGCAGGAUGAAGGCCUUCGGGUUGUAAACUGCUUUUGUACGGAACGAAACGGCCUUUUCUAAUAAAGAGGGCUAAUGACGGUACCGUAAGAAUAAGCACCGGCUAACUACGUGCCAGCAGCCGCGGUAAUACGUAGGGUGCAAGCGUUAAUCGGAAUUACUGGGCGUAAAGCGUGCGCAGGCGGUUAUGUAAGACAGUUGUGAAAUCCCCGGGCUCAACCUGGGAACUGCAUCUGUGACUGCAUAGCUAGAGUACGGUAGAGGGGGAUGGAAUUNCNCGUGUAGCAGUGAAAUGCGUAGAUAUGCGGAGGAACNNNNNAUGGCGAAGGCAAUCCNCNCUGGACCUGUACUGACGCUCAUGCACGAAAGCGUGGGGAGCAAAACAGGAUUAGAU
rnacentral:rRNA from 1 species